rnacentral:lncRNA from 1 species
UUAUUUAUUAUAUAUAGUAUUUUAUUUUUAUAUAGAUAUAUUAUUAUAUAAUAAUUUAUUAUAUAAUUUACUAUUUAUUUUUAUAAAAUGUAAAAUAUAUAAAUAAAUGUUAAAUAAUUUAAACUACUGGUAUUAGAUAUAAAUAUGAAUUUUAUAAUAUUCAACAUUCACAUAUAAAUUAUACAUUAAAAAAUAAAAAAAUUUGAUGCAGCUUAAGUUAAUUUUAUAUUUGACGAAAAUUAAUUGCAAGAAUCACAAACAAUGAUUUCUCUUCUCAUUCACUAACUACUGGGGGACUACGAUACCUACUAAAAUUAUUUCACUAACUAAUAGGGGACUACUAUGCCUACUAAAAUUUUUUGAUAUACUUAUUGUACCAUUUAAAUUCUAAAAUUAAUUUUUAUAACUAAUUUUUAAAAUUAAAUUUUAAAAUAACUACCUGCAGCAUUGCGCGGCUCCCUUAACUAGUUACUAUAUAUUAAA